ensembl:snRNA U2 U2 spliceosomal RNA
AUUGCUUCUCGGCCUUUUGGCUAAGAUCAAGUGUAGUAUCAUGUAGUGGUACAGAUACCCUAUGAUGAAUGUUAUCAUUAUCUAUGUCUAAAAUGUACCAAUA